UUACGGUCAUAUCAUGUAGAAAACACCAGUCCUAGUACGAUUAUCGAAGUUAAGCAACGUCGAGCAUUGUCAGUACUGGAUGAGUGACCGCUUUGGAAUACCAGGUGUUGUAAG